GAUGAAGAACGUAGUGAAAUGCGAUAAGUAAUGUGAAUUGCAGAAUUCAGUGAAUCAUCGAAUCUUUGAACGCACAUUGCGCCCGUCAGUAUUCUGGCGGGCAUGCCUGUUCGAGCGUCAUUACGCCCCUCAAGUCCCCUGUGGACUUGGUGUUGGGGAUCGGCGAGGCUGGUUUUCCAGCACAGCCGUCCCUUAAAUUAAUUGGCGGUCUCGCCGUGGCCCUCCUCUGCGCAGUAGUAAAACACUCGCAACAGGAGCCCGGCGCGGUCCACUGCCGUAAAACCCCCCAACUUUUUAUAGUUGACCUCGAAUCAGGUAGGACUACCCGCUGAACUUAAGCAUAUCAAUAAGCGGAGG
rnacentral:misc_RNA from 1 species